GCAAACUUGGUCAUUUAGAGGAAGUAAAAGUCGUAACAAGGUUUCCGUAGGUGAACCUGCGGAAGGAUCAUUAACGCAUCUCUGGCGGGCCUACGGCGCGCCCCGCUCCGACAGCAAAAGCCGUGCAGCGGGCGACCGUUCCCCCGUCCAACCCUUGCAAACCCACUGUGCACCUUUGCGGCAGAGGGCCCGCUGUGGCCCGAAGCCGAUUCACCAAACCCCAAGUCGAACGAAUGAAAUGCGUCCACUGUGUCGCCUAAAACGUAACAACUUUCAACAACGGAUCUCUUGGCUCUCGCAUCGAUGAAGAACGCAGC
rnacentral:misc_RNA from 1 species